rnacentral:misc_RNA from 1 species
GAUGAAGAACGUAGCGAAAUGCGAUAAGUAAUGUGAAUUGCAGAAUUCAGUGAACCAUCGAAUCUUUGAACGCACAUUGCGCCCCCUGGUAUUCCGGGGGGCAUGCCUGUCCGAGCGUCAUUGCUGCCCUCAAGCACGGCUUGUGUGUUGGGCCUCCGUCCUCCUCCCGGGGGACGGGCCCGAAAGGCAGCGGCGGCACCGCGUCCGGUCCUCGAGCGUAUGGGGCUUCGUCACCCGCUCUUGUAGGCCCGGCCGGCGCUUGCCGACACAUCAAUCUUUUUUCCAGGUUGACCUCGGAUCAGGUAGGGAUACCCGCUGAACUUAAGCAUAUCAAUAAGCGCAGGA